ACAUGCUUGGAUGACAUGUGUGCGGGCAUGGUCAACUGUAAAAUCGAACCCGAGAGUCAUCAAGAUGAUAUUUUCAUUUGUGCAAAGGUCUUCGCACAUUUUGCGAUACGUCUUAAAUUUAAUCAACAUACAAUUUUAAAUACUGUGAGCGACUUUGAUAACAUGUUCCAUUUUACGGGGUUGUUCUUCCAACUUUGAAACCUUGGCCGCCACGAAGAUGGUCGCAAUAGAGAUGGACUCCACAGGAAAAUGUUCAAAUGGGUGGCACAUGUAGAAUCUGUGCAUGAAGACUAUUGCAGUAUCGUUGCAAAUUUGAUUCCUGGAGAAAAUACAAAUUAAUUAAUCAAUUUGCAAAUGUAACUAAUAUAAAUUAAUUAAAAAGUCUAUUACACUUGUAAUUUAUUCCCCAACUUCUGAAUAAAACAAGCGCCUCCUUGUCGAAGUUCAA